CAGGAUGAAGACAUGAAGAGAAAGUUUCAAGAUCUUCUGUCUGAGGAAAAUGAAUCCACAGGUCUAUCCCAGGUUCUAGCCCAGCCUUCUACUAGUCGAAAGCGGCCUCGUGAAGGGGAAGCCGAGGGUGCCGAGACCACAAAGCGCCCGGCUGUGUGUGCUGCUGUGUUGUGAACUCCGUGGUUUGAACAUGAAAGAAAUGUACCUUCUUUCACUCUGUCAUCUUUCUUUUCUUUGAGUCUGUUUUUUUAUAGUUUGUAUAUUAAUUAUGGAAAUAAUUGCUUUUUCACAGUCACUGAUGUACAAUUAAAAACCUGAUGGAACCUGGGCUUUGUGCUUCUGCUUGAUAAUCGGUUCUUUAGUUGAAUGGCUUUAUUAUUUAUUUAUUUGAGAUGGAGUCUCACUCUGUUGCCCAGCCUGAAGUGUAGUGGUGCAAGCUUGGCUCACUGCAACCUCUGCUUCCCAGAUUCAAGCGAUUCUCGUGCCUCAGCCUCCUGAGUAGCUGGGAUUACAGGUAUGCGCCACCAUGCCAAGCUAAUUUUUAUAUUUUUUUG
rnacentral:lncRNA from 10 species